rnacentral:rRNA from 1 species
CCUACGGGUGGCAGCAGUGGGGAAUAUUGGACAAUGGAGGGAACCCUGAUCCAGCAACGCCGCGUGAGUGAAGAAGUAUUUCGGUAUGUAAAGCUCUAUCAGCAGGGAAGAAAGAAAUGACGGUACCUGACUAAGAAGCCCCGGCUAACUACGUGCCAGCAGCCGCGGUAAUACGUAGGGGGCAAGCGUUAUCCGGAUUUACUGGGUGUAAAGGGAGCGUAGACGGCGAUGCAAGUCUGAAGUGAAAGGCGGGGGCUCAACCCCCGGACUGCUUUGGAAACUGUAUGGCUGGAGUGCAGGAGAGGUAAGCGGAAUUCCUAGUGUAGCGGUGAAAUGCGUAGAUAUUAGGAGGAACACCAGUGGCGAAGGCGGCUUACUGGACUGUAACUGACGUUGAGGCUCGAAAGCGUGGGGAGCAAACAGGAUUAGAUACCCGUGUAGUC